GACUGGGUCACGUGACGCGGCCGGAAGUCAGCCUCCCGAGGACCAAGAGGGGUCAGAUUCUGCGAGCAAACGUGAAUGCCUGGGUGUUGGGGCCUGUGCCACACAGUAUUGCACGAGUCAAAGGACCAUCCGAAAACGGAGGUAAAGUAGGACCCACACCGCAGAGCCGUCGAGAGUUUUUGGCGAGAUGAUAUAUGAUUAGUAUGGUGCCAGGCACAGCUAACGAGACCUGGACGGGACCUCCCACUCACCCCCAUCUGAGCCUCUGGGGAAACAUCUGGACCGCGGGGGCUGAUCGAUGAUGAAGUAUUUACUUAGCUCUCCGCCCACAGUCCGGCUGGAGAGACACCCUUGGGUUCAAGGCGAAAGGCUUCCAGGAAAGGUGGCUGGGCCUCAAGGUCAUCAGUCAUCAGGAAUUGCCCACCUUGUCUCUGGGAACAGUCUGGAGCUGUCUCACGGGAAGUUCUCCUUCCUCAUUCCCGGGGAGAGUGCCCACUUCCUUUUACUCCUUUAAGCAGCAGCCCACGUCAUUACUGUUAUCACUGUUAUUAUUUUUGCCACCAUCGAUUGAGUGCUCACUGUGUUCGGGGCCCUAAGCUAACUGUGUUACAUGCAUUUCCUCAUUGAGUCCUUGCUAUAACUCUCAGGGUUUUACAGCCUGCUCGGAAUGGGAAUUCACUUUCCUGAGGUCACGAAGCUGGAAAGUAGAAGACCUGGGAUUUGAACCCAAGCAGUGUGGCUCCAGAGUCUAUGCCUUAACAGGGGUUCUGUUGGCCGGGGCUGGAGGCCACGCCAGAGACACCUCCCACCCUCUGCUCUUCCUUGCUGGAACCAACACGGCAUUCGGCGGUCAGAUAAUAGGACCUGGUGAUGCGAGGAGGCAGACAGGACCAUAAAUGAGGGGGAGCUGCCAAUCUCCAAAGAUCUCAACAAAGAAACCGGAUGGGAAGCAUUCCAACCAGAGGGAAAAGCAUGUGCAAAAGUCCUGAGGAAAGGGGCACAUAGCAGGUUCUAGUCUGACGAGGCCACAGUUGGAAGACUGGAUUCCACUCUGGACGCCCUUGCUUAUCAGGAGAAAGACAUACAUGUCACUUCGUGGGGAACGAAGGCAUCAUCCCUGGAGAAAGCCUCACCCGUGUGGCCAAGGAGACAUAUCCAAGUAUGUCCACUAUAGAAUUUUUAUCGGCAUCGACUUAGAUGCCCACCAACAGGGGACUGGACACAGGUAACUCCGUGCACGCACAUGUUUUAAGAGCACAGUCGGGGACACCCACAAAUUGGGUGGUUCAGUCAGUUAAGCAUCCUCCUUCGGCUCAGGUCAAGAUCUUGUGGUUCAGGAGUCCAAGCCCCGUGUCGGGCUCUGUGCUGACAGCUCAGAGCCUCGAGCCUGUGUCUUCCUCUCUCUCUGCCCCUCCCCUGCUCACACUCUGUCUCUCUCUCUCAAAAAUGAAUAAAUGAAAGAAAAAUUUUUAAAAAAGAUCGCAAUCAAAGUAGAUGAAACAGAGGUCUGUGUGCCAACAGGGGGAUCUUUCAAAACCGUGGCAGAGAGAGAAAAUGCUGAUCACGAAGUGAUCCGCAGCCCAUUUAAGAAACUGAAACCCCCGAGAGGCCCCGUAUGUUUUUCAGAAUUCACGUACAGUCUGUAAAACUCAUACGAAAACGGGGAUAUGCAUUCUGAAUUCACGACAGUACGUGUGGGUGGGUGGGGUUACGGAGAGACUGGGCAGCUAGACUUAGCGUAUUCUUUUUCACGACUAUAUAAUAUUCCGUUGAAGGGUGAUACAGUUGAUCCUCGAACAACACGGGUAUGCGGUGUGCGGGUCCCCUUAUGUGAGAUUUUCUUCAGGAAGCACAGCCAGGUUCCUUAGGAUUGGCUCAACGAUGUUUUCUUUCCUGCAGCUUCCUUCAUUGUAAGAAUGUGGCGUAUAUUACGCAGCACAUAUCCAACACGUGGUACAAUACCACCUACUUUUGUGAUCUGGAGGGCUUCCAGUCAACAGUCGGCUACCGGUGGUUACGUUUUCAGGGACCCACAGUUACGUGCAGAUUGUCAGCUGCACCAGGAGGCAGUCCUCCCUGACCCCCAUGUUGUUCAAGGGUUAAUUGUACUACGUUUUAUGCACAUAUUGCCCUGUUUGGAGAUACAUAGGUUGGUUCAGACGUUUUGCUGUUAACCGUGUGAGAGCCCCAUCCCUCUUUCGCGCAUUUCCAGGAAGAGAACUUUUUCUGUGCUAACAGAUUCUGUCGGUUUGUCCAAAGGUAAGCUGUGUGGGAAUAGCGGAAGCCACUUUGCAGGAUGUCCGUGAGCGUCCAAGCAUCGGCCGGACAGCCUCUUGGCGUAGCCGCGGUGGAGGGGGUUGCUGGCCCUACAUAGUCGUUGGCGUUCCUUCCAUGUGUGUGAUCCUACAAUCUCUCCUCCUUCUGCGGUGGGAUGUCCGCUUGGUACAACUCACGCCAAAAGCUCCAGCUGCAGGGAGGGGUGGGGUGGGGGGGCGUCAUCUUCUCUACAGGUUUGGAGGAGCCGACACGGACAUUUUUGCAAAAUCGCAUGUUUGUUGUUGCCAUGGUUCUGUUGUAUUUUCUUCCAGCUGAAGACAUUUUAACUAAAUGCCUGGUGUCCGGUCAGGGUUUCGAAUGAGUAAGCCUGGGUCCAAAGCCUGCGCCGGUACCCGUAGCUGUCCGAUCUCGAGCCCGUUCUUUAAGUCCUCCUUGCCUCGGUCUCCUCAUCUGUAAAAUGGGCAAAUUCAAACGCCGGCCAAACCGAUCAUCCCUUUUUGAUGAUUCCGCCGAUCCAUUAUCUCAUCUGUUCAUCAAAGGCCCCUGCAAGGAAGUCAGGCCGAGGAUGGGCCCAAGGAGAGAUGACUCAGGAAUCUGAAAGUCAAGGCCAGAAGCCUCUCUGUCAGGCGGCCCUCUGGGCUGAAUUUCUCCACUGAUCUUGGCCCAGGAGGCGGGUCAGGCUGUCCAGGCCAGGCCUGAAAUACCCACAGAGAGGCUUCCUUCCCCUUGACGCUGGACCGUGCUCCCCAGCCCCACCAGAUGGGCUGCAGAUGUGAGCUCCGGGUUGCAAGAGAGGCCAGGGGACAGGCAAAGCUCAUCUCCUUGCAUGGGAUGUCGGGCCCCAAGCCUGGUCCCGGGAGGCCACAGAAGCGUGAUGCGGGGGUCCCGGGAGUUCAAGUUCACAGAGUCUUGGCAACAGGAAGGUGGUGCUGAAGAUACGGUCACGCUCCUGUGAUGCGGGUAGCUGUCAGAGCACAUCCCGGGCAACGGCUGUCUCGUCUUGCAGCCUCCGCAUCGGCGUGGACAUAAGCCACAACCCUGUGUCAUCCCUGCAGCCCAGCCAGCCCUGGAGCAUCUGCUGGGUCGGCAGAAAGCUGCCUCUUCCAAUGGGUUAGGCCCCCACUGCCCCUCCUUCUUCAGCCUGUUCUAAGAUCCUGGAGCCCUUCCCUUGUGUCAUCUUUGCGAGUAGCCUUUGUUGACUUUAAAAAAAAAAAACAAACAAAAAGCUUGUUUUUAA